ACGACAAGAAACUGGCUAGUAAUUAUAAUUUCAAGCCUUUGAACAGCUUUACAUUACAAGCGUAUCCAAAUGAUUAAUCAUAAUUAUAAAAAAAAAAAAGAUUAAUUGAUCAUUGAUUAGCCAUCAAUUAAUCAUUGAACCUCUAAUUCAUUUCUUGGUAUUGGCUUUGCAGAGCAGACUCAUUGACCUAUGCACAUGUUU